GACGAACGCUGGCGGCGUGCCUAAUACAUGCAAGUAGAACGCUGAAGGAGGAGCUUGCUUCUCUGGAUGAGUUGCGAACGGGUGAGUAACGCGUAGGUAACCUGCCUGGUAGCGGGGGAUAACUAUUGGAAACGAUAGCUAAUACCGCAUAAUAGCAGUUGUUGCAUGACAACUGUUUGAAAGGUGCAAUUGCACCACUACCAGAUGGACCUGCGUUGUAUUAGCUAGUUGGUGGGGUAACGGCUCACCAAGGCGACGAUACAUAGCCGACCUGAGAGGGGGCUCGGCCCCCCUGGGACUGAGACACGGCCCCGACUCCUACGGGAGGCAGCAGUAGGGAAUCUUCGGCAAUGGCCGGAAGUCUGACCGAGCAACGCCGCGUGAGUGAAGAAGGUUUUCGGAUCGUAAAGCUCUGUUGUAAGAGAAGAACGAGUGUGAGAGUGGAAAGUUCACACUGUGACGGUAUCUUACCAGAAAGGGACGGCUAACUACGUG
rnacentral:rRNA from 1 species